rnacentral:rRNA from 1 species
GCCCUACAGGGUGCAGCAGGCGCCAAACCUCCGGUGUGUCCCCAAUCGAUACGUUUGGAUCCCAAUUGCCAUUCUUAACUGGAUGGCUUUUGAAUAUAGUAACUAGCUUUUGGAAGAGGAACUGGGCAACACCGCCGCCACCCGCCUCGGUAACACCUCACAGCUCUCAUGAUAGCAGUUUUUAUUGGGCCUCACGCCUCCGUAUCUGGUUUAAUAACUCUCUGGUGAAAUCCUGCAGCUUAACUGUGGGAAGUGCUGGACAUACUAUUAAACUUGAGAUCGGGAUAGGGUAGAGGUACUCCCAUGUGUAGAGGUGAAAUUCUGUAAUCCUGGCAAGACCGCCCGUUGCGAAGGCUGUCUGACGGGAACAAUUCUGAACGUGAGGGACGAACGCUAGGGGCGCGAACCAGAUUAUAUACCCGGGUAGUCCUAGCUGUAAACGAUGCGGACUUGCUGUUGGGGUGGCUUUCAACUGUCCCAGUGCCAAAGGGAAGCUGUUAAGUCCGCCGCCGGGUAAGUACGGUCGCAAGACUGAAACUUAUACGAAUUGGCGGGCGAGCACCACGCCGCGUGCAGCCUGCGGUAUAAUUGGAGUCAACGCCCG